UACGGGGGGGGCAAGCGUUGUUCGGAAUUACUGGGCGUAAAGGGCUCGUAGGCGGCCUGUUGCGUCCGCUGUGAAAUCCCGGGGCUUAACCCCGGGCGUGCAGUGGAUACGGGCUGGCUGGAGGCAGGCAGGGGAGAACGGAAUUCCCGGUGUAGCGGUGAAAUGCGCAGAUAUCGGGAGGAACAUCUGUGGAGAAGGCGGCCACCUGGACCAACACUGACACUGAGGCACGAAAGCGUGGGGAGCAAACAGG
rnacentral:rRNA from 1 species